UACGGGGGGGGCAAGCGUUGUUCGGAAUUACUGGGCGUAAAGGGCUCGUAGGCGGCCAACUAAGUCAUACGUGAAAUCCCUCGGCUUAACCAGGGAACUGCGUCUGAUACUGGAUGGCUUGAGUUCGGGAGAGGGAUGCGGAAUUCCAGGUGUAGCGGUGAAAUGCGUAGAUAUCAGGAGGAACACCGGUGGCGAAGGCGGCACUCUGGGCCGGUACUGACGCUGAGGAGCGAAAGCGUGGGGAGCGAACAGG
rnacentral:rRNA from 1 species